rnacentral:rRNA from 1 species
GUUGGAAUACAGCGUCAUAGAGGGUGAGAACCCCGUUCAUGACACGACUACCAGUGCUUUGUGAUACACUUUCGAUGAGUCGAGUUGUUUGGGAAUGCAGCUCAAAAUGGGUGGUAAAUUCCAUCUAAAGCUAAAUAUUGGCGAGAGACCGAUAGCAAACAAGUACCGUGAGGGAAAGAUGAAAAGCACUUUGGAAAGAGAGUUAACAGUACGUGAAAUUGUCGAAAGGGAAACGCUUGAAGUCAGACGUGCGCGGUGCGAUUCAGCCUUGGUUCGCCAGGGUGUACUUCGUACCAUUGCAGGCCAGCAUCGGUUUUGCGAGCCGGAUAAAGGUUAGAGGUAGGAAGCGGUCCAGGCCGUGUUAUAGCCUCUAACUGAAUACGGAUUG